UUUGGCAAAUGAAGAGGAAAGUGUUUGUGCGGGCUUAUGGAGACUGUGGGUGUACAAGAAAGACAAUAACAUUUGUGAUAAAAAUAAUAAGAGUGAUCUGGACAGUGAUUUAGACUUGCAUAGUUCUGAUAGUUCAUUUUCUAGUAUUGAGGAAGCAAAAAGAAGCAAGGGAAGUAGAAGCUACAGAGAAAAUCAAGCAGUUUUAAAAGAACAAAUUUAUCUAAAUAUCUAUAACAAUCUAAGGAAUGAUCCUUCAAUGAGUUCACAAAUGAUUGUAGUGCUUUGCAAAAAAUAGCGUUUUUAACAGGGGUUCCCUAUAGUACAACAUCCCUGUAAAAAAAGGAUUAAAGACAGAAUUUUUAUUUUUUUAGGAAAGAUGCAGGACAAUCAAAGGGACUUGACAUGGAUAUACAAAAACAAUGAGGUUCUGACCAUAGAGACACCUUAUCGGCAAGGGAAAAACAUUUCUCAGUCUCAACCUUGCGGAGAUACCUGAUAAAACUUGGAUUUAAGCUUAAGAUGGUUAACAAAAGAGCUGCUGUAAUGGAAUUGUCAGGUGGUGUAUAGAAUAUUUGAGGAAAAUUAAAAAAAAUUGGGAGGAAGAAAGAUCCAUAUAUUAUUUAGCCGAAACAUGAUAUGAUACAUUUAAGAUUGAUGUAUGAUUUCCAUUCUCUGGGAAAGAAGUCCCUUUUUUGCCAUACUUACUACCCCUGUUGUCCUUCAGCGACACAAUGAAGACUGCUUCUUCCUCCAUUCUCUAGAAAAAAGUCCCUUUUUUGCCAUACUUACUGCCCCUGUUUGUCCUUCAGCGACACAAUCAAGUAUAUAUAAUGUAAUGCUUUAGUAUCCAUAUGCUGAUGUGUGAGAUGAAGUUGGAAUCCAUGGCGGCAACAGAGAAACUGUUUCCUUCCUUAAUGGAAGAAACUGCUAAAGAACAAUGGCAAAAAAACAGAAUUUACAAAAUUUGUAUUAAC